rnacentral:rRNA from 1 species
GCUGGCGGCGUGCCUAAUACAUGCAAGUAGAACGCUGAAGUCUGGUGCUUGCACUAGACGGAUGAGUUGCGAACGGGUGAGUAACGCGUAGGUAACCUGCCUCAUAGCGGGGGAUAACUAUUGGAAACGAUAGCUAAUACCGCAUAACAGUAUUUACCGCAUGGUAGAUAUUUGAAAGGAGCAAUUGCUUCACUAUGAGAUGGACCUGCGUUGUAUUAGCUAGUUGGUGAGGUAACGGCUCACCAAGGCUUCGAUACAUAGCCGACCUGAGAGGGUGAUCGGCCACACUGGGACUGAGACACGGCCCAGACUCCUACGGGAGGCAGCAGUAGGGAAUCUUCGGCAAUGGGGGCAACCCUGACCGAGCAACGCCGCGUGAGUGAAGAAGGUUUUCGGAUCGUAAAGCUCUGUUGUAAGAGAAGAACUGUGAGAAGAGUGGAAAGUUUCUCACUUGACGGUAUCUUACCAGAAAGGGACGGCUAACUACGUGCCAGCAGCCGCGGUAAUACGUAGGUCCCGAGCGUUGUCCGGAUUUAUUGGGCGUAAAGCGAGCGCAGGCGGUUUGAUAAGUCUGAAGUAAAAGGCUGUGGCUUAACCAUAGUACGCUUUGGAAACUGUCAAACUUGAGUGCAGAAGGGGAGAGUGGAAUUCCAUGUGUAGCGGUGAAAUGCGUAGAUAUAUGGAGGAACACCGGUGGCGAAAGCGGCUCUCUGGUCUGUAACUGACGCUGAGGCUCGAAAGCGUGGGGAGCGAACAGGAUUAGAUACCCUGGUAGUCCACGCCGUAAACGAUGAGUGCUAGGUGUUGGGUCCUUUCCGGGACUCAGUGCCGCAGCUAACGCAUUAAGCACUCCGCCUGGGGAGUACGACCGCAAGGUUGAAACUCAAAGGAAUUGACGGGGGCCCGCACAAGCGGUGGAGCAUGUGGUUUAAUUCGAAGCAACGCGAAGAACCUUACCAGGUCUUGACAUCCCGAUGACCGCCCUAGAGAUAGGGUUUCUCUUCGGAGCAUCGGUGACAGGUGGUGCAUGGUUGUCGUCAGCUCGUGUCGUGAGAUGUUGGGUUAAGUCCCGCAACGAGCGCAACCCCUAUUGUUAGUUGCCAUCAUUCAGUUGGGCACUCUAGCGAGACUGCCGGUAAUAAACCGGAGGAAGGUGGGGAUGACGUCAAAUCAUCAUGCCCCUUAUGACCUGGGCUACACACGUGCUACAAUGGCUGGUACAACGAGUCGCAAGUCGGUGACGGCAAGCUAAUCUCUUAAAGCCAGUCUCAGUUCGGAUUGUAGGCUGCAACUCGCCUACAUGAAGUCGGAAUCGCUAGUAAUCGCGGAUCAGCACGCCGCGGUGAAUACGUUCCCGGGCCUUGUACACACCGCCCGUCACACCACGAGAGUUUGUAACACCCGAAGUCGGUGAGGUAACCUUUUAGGAGCCAGCCGCCUAAGGUGGGAUAGAU